rnacentral:rRNA from 1 species
UAAGGUGGUUAUGGCAACGGGGCUCACCUCUUCCCAUUCCGAACAGAGAAGUUAAGCCCGUUAGCGCAGAUGGUACUGCUAAUUGUGGGAGAGUAUGUCGCCGCCUUUU